AUUGAACGCUGGCGGCGUGCCUAACACAUGCAAGUCGAGCGGUAACGCGGGAGCAAUCCUGGCGACGAGCGGCAGACGGGUGAGUAAUGCUUGGGUAUCUGCCCAAUAGUGGGGAAUAACCAGUCGAAAGACUGGCUAAUACCGCAUAAGCCCCCUCUUCUUCGGAAAGGGGGGAAAGGCGGGGGAGUCGCAAGACCUCGCGCUAAUGGAUGAGCCCAAGUCGGAUUAGCUAGUUGGUGAGGUAACGGCUCACCAAGGCGACGAUCCGUAGCUGGUCUGAGAGGACGACCAGCCACACCGGAACUGAGACACGGUCCGGACUCCUACGGGAGGCAGCAGUGGGAAUAUUGGACAAUGGGGGAAACCCUGAUCCAGCGGCGCCGCGUGUGUGAAGAAGGCCUGCGGGUUGUAAAGCACUUUUAGUGGGGAUGAAAAGCCUAGAGCUAAUAUCUCUGGGUCUUGACUUAACUCAC
rnacentral:rRNA from 1 species